UACGGGGGGGGCAAGCGUUGUUCGGAAUUACUGGGCGUAAAGGGCUCGUAGGCGGCCAACUAAGUCCGACGUGAAAUCCCCAGGCUCAACUUGGGAACUGCGUCGGAUACUGGAUGGCUUGAAUUCGGGAGAGGGAUGCAGAAUUCCAGGUGUAGCGGUGAAAUGCGUAGAUAUCUGGAGGAAUACCGGUGGCGAAGGCGGCAUCCUGGACCGACAUUGACGCUGAUGAGCGAAAGCUAGGGGAGCAAACGGG
rnacentral:rRNA from 1 species